rnacentral:tRNA from 1 species
GCCUGGGCGGCUCAGUCGGUUGAGCAUCUGACUUCAGCUCAGGUCAUGAUCUCACAGUUCGUGAGUUUGAGCCCCGCAUCAGGCU